UACGAGGGGGGCAAGCGUUGUUCGGAAUUAUUGGGCGUAAAGGGUGCGUAGGCGGUUUGAUAAGUCAUCUGUGAAAACUCGGGGCUCAACUCCGAGCUUGCAGUCGAUACGGGCAGGCUAGAGUUCGGCAGGGGAGACUGGAAUUCCUGGUGUAGCGGUGAAAUGCGCAGAUAUCAGGAGGAACACCGGUGGCGAAGGCGGGUCUCUGGGCCGUAACUGACGCUGAGGAGCGAAAGCGUGGGGAGCGAACAGG
rnacentral:rRNA from 1 species